rnacentral:rRNA from 1 species
GGAAGGAUCAUUACUGAAUUGUCAAACGGGCUGUUGCUGGUCCUCAAAUGGGGACAUGUGCACGCUCUGUUUACACAUCCACUCACACCUGUGCACCCUCUGUAGUUUUACGGUCUGGGGGACCCUGUCUUCCUUCCGUAGUUCUACGUCUUUACACACACACUGUAAUAAAGUCUUAUGGAAUGUAUGCCGCGUCUAACGCAACACAAUACAACUUUCAGCAACGGAUCUCUUGGCUCUCGCAUCGAUGAAGAACGCAGCGAAAUGCGAUAAGUAAUGUGAAUUGCAGAAUUCAGUGAAUCAUCGAAUCUUUGAACGCACCUUGCGCCCCUUGGAUAUUCCGAGGGGCAUGCCUGUUUGAGUAUCAUGAACACCUCAACUCUCAUGGUUUGCCAUGACGAGCUUGGACCUUGGGGGUUUUGCUGGCCUGUGGUCGGCUCCUCUCAAAUGAAUCAGCCUCCCAGUGUUUGGUGGCAUCACGAGUGUGAUAACUAUCUACGCUCGCGGUUGCCCACCAGGUAACCUUUGGUGACAAAGGUUCGCUGGAGCUCACAGAUGUCUCUCCUUAGCGAGGACAGCUUUUUAACGUUCGAUCUCAAAUCAGGUAGGACUACCCGCUGAACUUAAGCAUAUCAAUAAGCGGAGGAA